rnacentral:rRNA from 1 species
UACAGAGACCUCGAGCGUUAUCCGGAUUUACUGGGCGUAAAGGGUCCGCAGGUGGUUUUGUAAGUCUUCGGUUAAAUUCUUGAGCUCAACUCGAGAACCGCCGAGGAAACUAUAAGACUAGAGACUGGGAGAGGCAAGCGGAAUUGCCGGUGUAGUAGUAAAAUGCGUUAAUAUCGGCAAGAACACCAAAUGCGAAGGCAGCUUGCUAGAACAGUUCUGACACUCAGGGACGAAAGCGUGGGGAGCGAUA